AGACCCGAAACCCGGUGAUCUAGCCAUGGGCAGGUUGAAGGUUGGGUAACACUAACUGGAGGACCGAACCGACUAAUGUUGAAAAAUUAGCGGAUGACCUGUGGCUGGGGGUGAAAGGCCAAUCAAACCGGGAGAUAGCUGGUUCUCCCCGAAAGCUAUUUAGGUAGCGCCUCGUGAAUUCAUCUCCGGGGGUAGAGCACUGUUUCGGCUAGGGGGCCAUCCCGGCUUACCAACCCGAUGCAAACUGCGAAUACCGGAGAAUGUUAUCACGGGAGACACACGGCGGGUGCUAACGUCCGUCGUGAAGAGGGAAACAACCCAGACCGCCAGCUAAGGUCCCAAAGUCAUGGUUAAGUGGGAAACGAUGUGGGAAGGCCCAGACAGCCAGGAUGUUGGCUUAGAAGCAGCCAUCAUUUAAAGAAAGCGUAAUAGCUCACUGGUCGAGUCGGCCUGCGCGGAAGAUGUAACGGGGCUAAACCAUGCACCGAAGCUGCGGCAGCGAACGUAUCACCCAAGACAACUUUACGGAGUUGACGAUUGACGGAGCGAAGCGACGUCAAAGCGUUCAUUAAAGUCGAGUUGGCUUAGGGAUACGUUCGUUGGGUAGGGGAGCGUUCUGUAAGCCUGUGAAGGUGUGUCGUGAGGCAUGCUGGAGGUAUCAGAAGUGCGAAUGCUGACAUAAGUAACGAUAAAGCGGGUGAAAAGCCCGCUCGCCGGAAGACCAAGGGUUCCUGUCCAACGUUAAUCGGGGCAGGGUGAGUCGACCCCUAAGGCGAGGCCGAAAGGCGUAGUCGAUGGGAAACGGGUUAAUAUUCCCGUACUUGGUGUUACUGCGAAGGGGGGACGGAGAAGGCUAUGUUGGCCGGGCGACGGUUGUCCCGGUUUAAGGGUGUAGGUGUGUGUUCCAGGUAAAUCCGGUUCACUUUAACACUGAGGCGUGACGACGAGGCACUACGGUGCUGAAGCAACAAAUGCCCUGCUUCCAGGAAAAGCCUCUAAGCAUCAGGUAACACGAAAUCGUACCCCAAACCGACACAGGUGGUCAGGUAGAGAAUACCAAGGCGCUUGAGAGAACUCGGGUGAAGGAACUAGGCAAAAUGGUGCCGUAACUUCGGGAGAAGGCACGCUGACACGUAGGUGAAGUGAUUUACUCAUGGAGCUGAAGUCAGUCGAAGAUACCAGCUGGCUGCAACUGUUUAUUAAAAACACAGCACUGUGCAAACACGAAAGUGGACGUAUACGGUGUGACGCCUGCCCGGUGCCGGAAGGUUAAUUGAUGGGGUCAGCGCAAGCGAAGCUCCUGAUCGAAGCCCCGGUAAACGGCGGCCGUAACUAUAACGGUCCUAAGGUAGCGAAAUUCCUUGUCGGGUAAGUUCCGACCUGCACGAAUGGCGUAAUGAUGGCCAGGCUGUCUCCACCCGAGACUCAGUGAAAUUGAACUCGCUGUGAAGAUGCAGUGUACCCGCGGCAAGACGGAAAGACCCCGUGAACCUUUACUAUAGCUUGACACUGAACAUUGAGCCUUGAUGUGUAGGAUAGGUGGGAGGCUUUGAAGUGUGGACGCCAGUCUGCAUGGAGCCGACCUUGAAAUACCACCCUUUAAUGUUUGAUGUUCUAACGUGGACCCGUAAUCCGGGUUGCGGACAGUGUCUGGUGGGUAGUUUGACUGGGGCGGUCUCCUCCUAAAGAGUAACGGAGGAGCACGAAGGUUGGCUAAUCCUGGUCGGACAUCAGGAGGUUAGUGCAAUGGCAUAAGCCAGCUUGACUGCGAGCGUGACGGCGCGAGCAGGUGCGAAAGCAGGUCAUAGUGAUCCGGUGGUUCUGAAUGGAAGGGCCAUCGCUCAACGGAUAAAAGGUACUCCGGGGAUAACAGGCUGAUACCGCCCAAGAGUUCAUAUCGACGGCGGUGUUUGGCACCUCGAUGUCGGCUCAUCACAUCCUGGGGCUGAAGUAGGUCCCAAGGGUAUGGCUGUUCGCCAUUUAAAGUGGUACGCGAGCUGGGUUUAGAACGUCGUGAGACAGUUCGGUCCCUAUCUGCCGUGGGCGCUGGAGAACUGAGGGGGGCUGCUCCUAGUACGAGAGGACCGGAGUGGACGCAUCACUGGUGUUCGGGUUGUCAUGCCAAUGGCACUGCCCGGUAGCUAAAUGCGGAAGAGAUAAGUGCUGAAAGCAUCUAAGCACGAAACUUGCCCCGA
rnacentral:rRNA from 1 species